CUGUACAGUUCAGAGUUUGAUCCUGGCUCAGGAUGAACGCUGGCGGCGUGCUUAACACAUGCAAGUCGAACGAGGUUAUUACAGUUGAAGUUUUCGGAUGGAAACCGUUUUAACCGAGUGGCGGACGGGUGAGUAACGCGUGGGAAACCUGCCCUAUUCCGGGGGAUACCAGUUGGAAACGACUGUUAAUACCGCAUAAGCGCACAGCAUCGCAUGAUGCAGUGUGAAAAACUCCGGUGGAAUAGGAUGGUCCCGCGUCUGAUUAGGCAGUUGGCGGGGUAACGGCCCACCAAACCGACGAUCAGUAGCCGACCUGAGAGGGUGACCGGCCACAUUGGGACUGAGACACGGCCCAA
rnacentral:rRNA from 1 species